rnacentral:lncRNA from 1 species
GCACAUAUCCAGCAGCUCACCGAUCCGCCCUAUUUUAUUUUUAAAUCUCAGCCUUUGAUUCCUUCACAUCCAAUGGCUAUUAUCCGUUCGUCCAAACACAUAAAACCCUAAUUAUAAUUUUGCAAAACCUUAAGACAAAAAAACCAAGCACCAGCCGCAGCUCACCGGCACAUACAGAAAAAGAAUGAGGAGAAAUUUGGGGAUCAAGAGAAACCUAAGACACAUGUAGAGGAGGGGACGAUAUAGAGGGUGAACGGAAAGACAAAAAAAGACCACACACAUAGAUACACAAAUAAACAAGAAAGAGAGGUGAAAAUCAAUGGGUUCCUAGUGAUGAUAUUGCUAUUGUUUCUGGCCCUGCUUUUCUUUUUUGGGGCUUUGAUAGCUAAUCCUUGUAAUAAGAGAGGGCUCAUGUUUUGAAGCUGAAAUUGUUACCACCCCGACGUACCUUUCUCUAUUUGUAUCUCCUAGGCAAAGAUGCGGCUGGACAAUUGGAGCAAAGGCUGGGUCUGCCUCCUCUCGACCCUGAGGCUGUACCAAAGAUGAUGCAAGAGAUUCGGAACCACAUUCGCGGUCUGGAAGAGAGGAAGGGAGGUCGAGUUCGAGUUAGCCAUCUUCUGGUUUGUUGGUCUUCGUCGAAAUUUUUAUUUUGGAUUCUAUGUAAACUCAGUCCCAUUUCUCAUAAGAAAACUAUCACUAAAGGCCUAAUUCUCUUCCUUCCUUCUUGCAUUUUUAUUCUCAAACUCUGUUGCUCAUUGAUUUAUUUUGCAAUUUGAUCUUGUGGCAGGUAUUAUAAUUUGUAUGUUAGUUUGUUCUUGGUAGAAUAACUGUUAUGCUUUGAAUCACUAAUCCUUCAAUUGAGAACAUAAGAAAUAAAUUGGUUUAAGUUGUUGGGUUUAGUUAAAAAGUUGAAAUUAAAGAGGACACUAUCUUGAGACGGGAACAUGAGUUAAGCUUAAGAAUGCUUUUUGAUUAAUUUUUGUUGUUUAAUUUUAUUCCAUUAAUGGGUUGUGGGACCGGGAUUUAAAGAAAAAAUACUGAAAUUUGAGUUGAGUAUUAUAUAAUCACUACAUUUAAUCUUGAUCACUAGUAACAUGUUUAGGCCGG